rnacentral:lncRNA from 1 species
UUUUUAUUAUAAUCAUAAUCAUUUAUAAUCGUUGUUGUUGUUACUACAGAGGAUGCUACGUGUUCAGAAACUCAGUCUGACAAUACAGUUUUCGAAACAGACGAAAGGUUGAAUCUUCUCUCUCUCAGUGUAAUGGGACUGAGAUUGAUAUUUUUCAAGAGCAUUGCUCUCAACUUGAUACUUACCUACUGGGCAUGGUCAAGAUGAGGAAUGUCAGAAAAAUGGAGAAUUGGAAUUUUGUCAUUUAGGACAAAGGGUAAUAUUUGAUUGGACAGAAAACAUGCCACCAGCUUUCCUGAUUGCCUUCUCAGAUUUUUAAACAAAACAGCUUCACUUUUUAAAUCUUUCAUGGAAAAGCUUUUUAAAACACCUGGACAGCUCAUCAAUGCAAAUUCUUCUAUUGUUCUAAUGUACUAUACCGUCUUCUGAAUAUUAUGCAUUUACAGUGUAAUAAAGAUGCGUGUUUAAAUG